GAUGAACGCUGGCGGCGUGCCUAAUACAUGCAAGUCGAGCGAACAGACGAGGAGCUUGCUCCUUUGACGUUAGCGGCGGACGGGUGAGUAACACGUGGGUAACCUACCUAUAAGACUGGGAUAACUUCGGGAAACCGGAGCUAAUACCGGAUAAUAUUUCGAACCGCAUGGUUCGAUAGUGAAAGAUGGCUUUGCUAUCACUUAUAGAUGGACCUGCGCCGUAUUAGCUAGUUGGUAAGGUAACGGCUUACCAAGGCAACGAUACGUAGCCGACCUGAGAGGGUGAUCGGCCACACUGGAACUGAGACACGGUCCAGACUCCUACGGGAGGCAGCAGUAGGGAAUCUUCCGCAAUGGGCGAAAGCCUGACGGAGCAACGCCGCGUGAGUGAUGAAGGUCUUCGGAUCGUAAAACUCUGUUAUUAGGGAAGAACAAACGUGUAAGUAACUGUGCACGUCUUGACGGUACCUAAUCAGAAAGGCACGGCUAACUACGUG
rnacentral:rRNA from 1 species